rnacentral:lncRNA from 1 species
AAAGGUGGCAGAGGGUAUCUGGCAUUUUAAGCUUCUGCAGUGAGAGGCGGGCUCUGUCUCCCAUCACAGUUCACAUGGUGAAGAAUUUUAUCCGUUUUUGGGAGACUUUGAUGCUGAGCAGUCUAAAAGAACAAUUAGUGGCCAUUUUAUAGGUAAGAAAAUUGAAACCCAGCAUUAUCAUAAUUUUCAGAAAGACACCCCUGUUAAUAACUGGCAGAACCUUGAUUGGAACCUAAAUUGGGAUGACCCUGAAAUCUCUCUUCCCAGCUCUUUUGUGUUCUGGUUGUUGCUAUCCAUUUCUGAUUUGGGUCAGCUGUUCCCCUAAGUCCUCAUUUUGGUUUCUCAGAAGUCACAAGUGUACACUUUAUGUUUUUUAUCCCUUUCUCUCAGCAGCCUGGCUACUAAGCAGCCCUGCUACUGUAUCUCUGUUUCAUUUUAGGAACCAAAAGAAUCAUCCCUUAGAGUUUGCUCAUGUUGCUUGUUCUAAUAGCAGCCCUUAGUACUGCUUUGAGAUUCUUGACAUGGGAAAUUCACACAUACGUCAGCCUCAACCAUGAAAUAUUUGAUUCUUAGAUGUGAAUUUUCAAAUAUUUUCGUACAUUCUGUGAACCCAUAUGAAGAUUUAAUGACCUUCAGGCUUAAAGGUUUUGAACCUUGAAUAACAACUGAAUUUUUAAAAUAGGAUUUUUUGAAAAGUAAAUGUAAAAAAAGGUAAAAUAAGAGAGAAAAUAUGUGUAGACUGUAAAUAUUUUUGAAACAGAGGAAAGAGGCUUUUAGGCAUUGUCAGUUGCUAGGAAACCAUGUCUUGGCUAUAUAGUUUCGAAAUUACUGAAUGUCUCAUGCUUUGGGUCCAUAGAGUACCAGUAGGAACAAAAGAAAAUCUGAUGCAAUAAAAUGCUUUUCAUUUUCAGUGCUUAGAAAAGAUGACUACCAAAACAAUUAAUUGAAGAAAAUGAUGUACCAAUAAUAAGGUUCAAGUCAUGCAUUUGGAGGCCUGGGCUUACAUUACUAUGUAUUUAUGAAGCUAUGAGGACAUGAAAUAAUUCAUUAUGUUUUGGGGGGAUUAGAGUCACCAUCUUAGAAUUAUAUGUACUAUUAACUACUUCACAGGGUUUUCAUGUAAAAUCAAUAAUAGCACUUUGUGCAACAUAUGACAUGUAUUUAGUGUAUGGUAUCUGAACCAGAAAUGCAUUUAUUUUGAUGUUUUUAGUCCUAUGAGCCCUCAUGCAGUGCAGCCUCUUCUCAUCUGCUCCCUCAUCGCUCUCACUUGGCUUACGGAAGUAGCCUUUCAACAGCCUUUCUCUUAGAGCCAGCUAUAGUUCCCAAACAAAAACCAUAUUCUCUGGGGAAAUAGAGUUGCAUAAAACAAUCAAUAAACAUUCUUCCCUAAGAUUCAAUAAGUUGGAAAAGAGAAAAAAGAAAAAAAUGUAGGAGCAGUAGAAUACCAAAGAAAGCAUAUAAGUUCUUUACAGAAACUUCGAAAAUUGUCAUCUAUAGACAGAAUUUCCUAUGAAUCACUGAUUCAGUUCCUUCUGAAACAGUAUAGUAGGAGAAACUGUGAGUGGACACAUUUCCAAAAACUCCUGCAGAUAACAGAGAUCUAGAAGGAAGAAUCCAGGAUGGGGCAAAAGGGGUGGCAGUAAGUCAGCAGGGCAGGGACAAAUGCAAAAUGUACACUAUGGUCCACCACCACAGGCAAAAAGCACUUAACUUGGGUCAGGGUAUUUAAGAGUUUAUAGCAUUUAUUUUUCUCUGAAAAGGAAGAAAAUGAGAGAGGCCUGGUAAAAUUCUUUUUUUUAAUUACUCAAUGAAUUUAUUACAUCUAUAGCUGUGCAAUGAUCACAAUCCAGUUUUAAGUAUUUCCAUCCCAGACCCCCAGCGCAUUCCCCCACCCCCCAAACUGUCUCCUCCAGAGACCAUAAGUUUUUCAAUUUCUGUGAGUCAGUAUCUGUUCUGCAAAGAAGUUCAGUCUGUCCUUUUUUCAGAUUGCACAUGUCAGUGAAAGCAUUUGAUGUUGGGGUCGCAUUGUCUGACUGACUUAGCAUGAUAAUUUCUAGGUCCAUUCCAUGUUUCUAAAAAUGCCGGUAUUUCAUUCCUUUUUGUGGCUGAGUAAUAUUCCAUUGCGUAUAUGUACUGCAUAUUCUUGAUCCACUCCUCUAUCGAUGGACAUUUAGGUUGUUUCCAAGUCUUGGCUACUGAAAAGAGUGCUACAAUGAGUACAUGUGUCUUUUCGAGUCAUGGUUUUCUCUGGAUAGAUGCCCAGGAAUGGAUCAAAUGGUAGUUCUAUGUUUAGUUUUGUGAGGAAUCGCCACACUUUUUUCCACAGUGGUUGCACCAAUUUACAUUCCCACCAACAGUGUAAUAGGGUUCCUUUUUCUCCACACCCUCUCCAGCACUUAUAGUGUGUAGACUUUUGGAUGAUGGCCAUUCUGGCUGGUGUAAGGUGGUACCUCAGAGUGGUUUUGAUUUGCAUUUCUCUAAUAAUGAGUGAUGUUGAACAUCUUUUCAUGUGUUUCCAGUCCAUCUGUAUGUCUUCUUUGGAGUACUGUCUGUUUAGAUCUUCUGCCCAUUUUUGGAUGGAGUUGUUUGUUUUUUUGUAAUUGAGCUGCAGAAGGUGUUUAUAAAUUUUGGAGAUUAAUCCCUUGUCAGUCAAUUCAUUUGAAAAUAUUUUCUCCUAUCCUGUGGGUUGUCUUUUCAUUUUGUUUAGGGUUUCCUUUGCUGUGCAGAAACUUUGAAGUUUAAUUAGGUCCCAUUUGUUUAUUUUUGUCUUUACUGUCAAUACUCUAAGAGGUGGAUCUGAGAGGAUGUUGCUGUCGUUUAUGUCAGAGAGGGUUUGGCCUAUGUUUUCCUUUAAGAGUUUUAUAGUGUCUGGUCUUAUAUCUAGGUCUUUAAUCCAUUUGGAGUUUAUUUUUGUGUAUGGUGUUAGGGAGUGUUCUAAUUUCAUUCUUUUCCAUAUGGAUGUCCAGUUUUCCCAGCACCACUUAUUGAACAAGCUGUCUUUUCUCCAUUGUAUAUUCUUGCCUCCUUUGUCAUAGAUUAGUUGACUGUAGAUGCAUGGGUUUAAUUCUGGGCUUUCUAUCCUGUUCCACUGAUCUAUAUUUCUGUCUUUGUGCCAGUACCAUAUGGUUUUGAUGACUGUUGCUUUGUAGUAUAGUCUGAAGUCCGGGAGCCUGAUUCCUCCAGCUCCAUUUUUCUUUUUCAGGAUGUCUUUGGCUAUUCUGGGUCUUUUGUGCUUCCAAACAAACUUUAAAAUAUUUUAUUCGAGUUCUGUGAAAAAUGUCCUUGGUAAUUUGAUAGGGAUUGCAUUGAAUCUGUAGAUUGCCUUAGGUAGUAUAGUUAUUUUGAUAAUAUUGACUGUUCCAAUCCGUGAGCAUGGUAUAUCUUUCCAUCUACUUUUGUCAUCUUUGAUUUCUUUCAUCAGUGUCUUAUGGUUUUUGGAGGACAGGUCUUUUGUCUCUUUAGGUAGGUUUUCUCCUAAGUAUUUUAUUCUUUUGGAUGUGAUGGUAGAUGGGAUUGCUUCCCUAAUUUUUCUUUCUGAUCUUUCAUUGUUAGUGUAUAGAAAUGCCGUUGAUUUCUGUUUAUUGAUUGAUUUUGUAUCCUGCGACUUUGCCAAAUUCAUGGAUGAGUUCUAACAAUUUUCUGGUAGAGUCUUUAGGAUUCUCUAGGUAUAGUAUCAUGUCAUCUGCAAAUAGGGAUAGUUUUACUUCUUCCUUUCCAGUUUGGAUUCCUUUUAUUUCUUUCUUUUUUUCUUUUUGCCGUUUCUUGGGCCGUUCCUGCGGCAUAUGGAGGUUCCCAGGCUAGGGGUCUAAUCAGAGCUGUAGCUGCCAGCCUAUGGUAGAGCCACAGCAACGCAGGGAUCCAAGCCACGUCUGCAACCUACACCACAGCUCACUGCAAUGCUGGAUCGUUAACCCACUGAGCAAGGCCAAGGAUCGAACCCGCAACCUCAUGGUUCCUAGUCGCAUUCGUUAACCACUGCACCACGACGGGAACUCCUCCUUUUAUUUCUUUUACUUCUCUGAUUGCUGUGGUCAGGACGUCCAAAACUAUGUUGAAUAGUAGUGGUGAGAGUGGACAUCCUUGUCUUGUUCCUGAUCUCAGUGGGAAUUCUUUCAGCUUUUCACCAUUGAGAAUGAUGUUUGCUGUGGGUUUGUUAUAUAUGGCCUCUAUCAUGUUGAGGUAGGUUCCCUCUAUGCCCACUUUCUGAAGGUUUUUUUUUUUUUUUAUCAGAAAUGGGUGUUGGAUUUUGUCAAAGGCUUUUUCUGCAUCUAUUGAGAGGAUUAUAUGGUUUUUAUUCUUCAGUUUGUUAAUGUGGUGUAUCACACUGAUUGAUUUGAAGAUAUUGAAGAAUCCUUGCAUUCCUGGGAUAAAUCCCACUUGAUAAUGAGGUACAAUCCUUUUAGUGUAUUGUUAGAUUCGGUUCACUAGUAUUUUGUUGAGGAUUUUUGCAUCGAUGUUCAUCAGUGAAAUUGGCCUAUAGUUUUCUUUUUUUGUGGUGUCUUUGUCUGGUUUUGGUACCAGGGUGAUGGUGGCCUCAUAGAAUGAGUUUGGGAGUAUCUCUUCCUCUGCAACUUUUUGGAAUAGUUUCAGAAGUAUAGGUGUUAGCUCUUCUCUAAAUGUUGGGUAGAAUUCACCUCUGAAGCCAUCUGGUCUAGGUCUUUUGUUCGUUGGAAGUUUUUAAAUCACAUUUUCAAUUUCAGUACUUGUGAUUGGUCCUUUCAUCUUUUCUAUUUCAUCUUGGUUUAGUCUUGGAAGGUUGUACUUUUCUAAGAAUUUGUCCAUUUCUUCUAGGAUUUCCAUUUUAUUGGCGUAUAGUUGCGUAUAGUAGUCUCUUACGAUCUUUUGUAUUUCUGUGAUGUCCGUUUUUACUUCUCCUUUUUCAAAAUUUUAUUUUUGAGUCCUCUCUAUUUUUUCCUUGUUAAGGCUGGCUAAAUGUUUAUUAAUUUUUUUUGAUCUUUUCAAAGAACCAGCUUUUUGUUUCAUUGAUCUUUUCUAUGUUUCUAUUUCAUUGAUUUCUGCUCUGAUCUUUGUGAUUUCUUCCUUCUGCUCACUUUAGGUCUUGUCUGUUCUUCUCUCUCGAGCUGCUUUAGAUGUAAAGUUAGCUUGUUUAUUUGUGCUUUUUCUUGUUUCCUGAGGUGGGCUUGUAUUGCUAUAAACUUUCCUCUUAGAAUGACUUUUGCUGCAUCCUAUAGGUUUUGGAAUGUUGUGUCUUUGUUGUCAUUUGCUUCUAGGUAUUUUUUAAUUUCCUCUUUAAUUUAUUCAGUGAUCCAUUGGUUGUUUAGUAGCAUGUUGUUUGGUCUCCACAUGUUUGUGUUUUUGCAGUUUUUUCUUGUUGAUUUCCAGGCAUAUAACAUUGUGGUCAGAAAAGAUGCUUGAUAUGAUUCAAUUUUCUUAAAGUUACCAAGGUUUGAUUUGUAGACCAGGAUGUCCACAACCAGAAACAAAAAUACUGCAAAUGACAAGGCUCACCAGUAAAGGUAUAUAGAGAGUAAAGAUACGAAAUCAUCCAUGCACAAUUAUGCCAGCAAAAUCAGAAAUCAUGAGAAGAGGAGGGUACAAAUGCAGGACACUGGAGAUGCACUUGCAAUUAAGAGACCAACAACUUAAAGCAAUCAUAUAUAGGCUCUUAUAUCAAAACUUCAGAAUAACUGCAAUCCAAAAAUCUACAAUUGAUACACAAUCAAAUAAUAAAAAUUAAUUCAAAUACACUAUUGAUAGUCAUCAAACCACAAGAGGAGAGAACAAGGGCAGAAGGGAAGAAAAAAGAGCAACAGAAACAAAUCCAAAGCAAUUAGUAAAAUGGCAAUUAGAACAUAAAUAUCAAUAAUUACCUUAAAUGUUAAUGGACUAAAUGCCCCAACCAAAAGACAUAGACUGGCUGAAUGAAUACAAAAACAAGACCCACAUAUAUGCUGUCUUCAAGAGACCGAUUUCACUUCUAGGGACAUACAAAUUGAAAGUGAGAGGAUGGAUGAAAAUAUUCCAUGCAAACGGUAAUCAAUAGAAAGCUGGAGUAGCGAUACUCAUAACAGAAAAAGUAGACUUUAAAAUGAGGAAUGUUUUAAGGGACAAGGAAGGUCACUACAUAAUGAUCAAAGGAUCAAUCCAAGAAGAAGAUAUAACAAUUUUAAAUAUCUAUGCAUGCAACCUAGGUUCACCACAAUAUAUAAGGCACUGCUAACAACCUUAAAAGGACAAAUCGACAAUAACAAAUAAUAGUGGGGGACUUUAACACCCCACUUACAGCAAUGGAUAGAUCAUCCAGACAUGAAAUCAAUAAGGAAAUGCAGGCCCUGAAUGAAGUAUUAGACCAGAUGGACUUAAUAGAUAUUUAUAGGACAUUCCAUCCAAAGCAGAAGAAUACACAUUCUUCUCAAGUGCACAUGGAACAUUCUCUAAGAUUGAUCACAUCCUGGGCUAUAAAUCAAACCUUGGUAAAUUUCAAAGUUCCUGUUUCAUGAGUUCCCAUUGUGGCUCAUUGGAAAUGAAUCUGACUAGCAUCCAUGAGGAUGCAGGUUCAUCCCUGGCCUCUCUCAGUAGGUUAAGGAUCGGGCAUUGCCAUGAGCUGUGGUGUAGGUCGCAGACUCAGAUCGGAGUUGACUCAGCUCCUGUGUUGCUGUGGCUGUGGUGUCGGCCAGCAGCUACAUCUCUGAUUCGACCCCUAGCUUGGGAACCUCCAUAUGCCUCAGGUGUGGU